ensembl:lncRNA
CGCAGCCUCUAGUCUAAUUCUCUGCUUUAGCUGUUGCCCGGCUCUUACCUGAAACCCUUCCCUCUCCCCAAAAGUGGGUUGGGCUGAAGUGUCCUUUGCCCGCUGGCUGCCUGCGGGUCAAACUGUGCUUCAGGCAGCUAUGGGACCCUACCUCGGCCAAAGCUUCGGGAACCUAGGAAUGACAAAGUCUGCAUAUUCAGUACAGAUGUUUCCAGAAUACUUUAGUGUGCAGUUGAUUGAAUCUGGAUGCAGAACUUGGAGCCAUGGAGGACCAAGAACGUUGAAAAUGCAACAAUAAGGGGAAAUGCAAUUUAAAAGUGGGCUGAAAAGUAAAGACAGACUUUAUUAGAGAAUAUACACAUGGUAUCCACAGUUGCUAGAAUGCCCCCAUUAAAUGGCCUGUCAGGUAUUUUCUUCUUUAAUGAUUGACAUGGGAGGGCCUAGCCCACUGUGGGUGGUGGCACCCUGGGUAGGUGGCCCUGAGUUGUAUUGAAAAGCAAGCCAAGCUAGCUACAAGGAGAAAGUCAGUAAGCAGUAAGUACAGUACGCCUGUGCUUCAGUUCCCACCUCCAGGCUCCUGCCUUGGGUUCUUGCCUUGACUUCGCUAAGCAAUGGAGCUUAGCCUAAAAGUUGUCCAAUAAAGUGAACCCUUCUUCCCCAAGUCAUUUUUGGCCAUAUUUUAUCACAGCAAUGGGAAGCAAACUAAGGCAAUCUUCCUGGAAUGCUGGGUUACAAAGUAGGAUGAGCAAGGAAAAAAAGAGAGACUGCUUGAACAGAGGG